GUUUGUUUUAACCCCAUCAGAGGAAGCAGUAUUGUAAACAAGUAAAUAUGUUUGAUUGAAUAGAUAGAGAUAGGUACUUAAAACUCGUGUUUGAUCCGGGGGGUGUUUUGCGAUAGGUCACCCCUCCCCUAAGGCCGGAUGGUUUUCAAAUCAAGAUUAUGACACCCUCCUUUGUGUUAGGAGCAUCUCUCAGUCUGAUCGUUAGUCAAUGGGGGUGCUAUCUAUAACGUCACACACGCGCAUCCUGAGCGGAAACGUGCACCUGAGCGGAAACACGCGUGAGAAAAAAGGAGCAAACGCCUGAGCGGACACGCCCACACGUGUAGGUAAAAAGUGAGAAUUUUCCGAAAAUUUGGCUAUGACUUCGCGUCUUUGGAUUUUUCACAACGGAACAGAACAUCUACGAUCUUCUAAGCAUUGAGAGCACGGCCUUUUCAAUAGAACAAGGCCAGCCUAUCUGACGCAAUUGUCUGUGAAAACGUAUCAAACAAACGCGACCCUUCCAGGACAGUUGUAUUGAGAUUAUUUGCCGGCGACGAGUCUUCUACAACGCACGUGCUAGGCCUAAGAACGGGGGAACAUCCGGGGUCAAACAAUCGUGGCCCUUCCAGGGUAAUUUCAUUCUGACUCUUAGAUCUGUAUUUUUUUUUUUCUUCAGUCGAUUGUUUUAUCAUAUAUUACAUUAUAAUCUAAAUGUUAUAUUUAUUUAUUUAAUUCAUCGUUUA